AUUGAACGCUGGCGGCAUGCCUUACACAUGCAAGUCGAACGGUAACAGGUCUUCGGAUGCUGACGAGUGGCGAACGGGUGAGUAAUACAUCGGAACGUGCCCGAUCGUGGGGGAUAACGGAGCGAAAGCUUUGCUAAUACCGCAUACGAUCUACGGAUGAAAGCAGGGGACCGCAAGGCCUUGCGCGGACGGAGCGGCCGAUGGCAGAUUAGGUAGUUGGUGGGAUAAAAGCUUACCAAGCCGACGAUCUGUAGCUGGUCUGAGAGGACGACCAGCCACACUGGGACUGAGACACGGCCCAGACUCCUACGGGAGGCAGCAGUGGGGAAUUUUGGACAAAGGGCGAAAGCCUGAUCCAGCCAUGCCGCGUGCUGGAUGAAGGCCUUCGGGUUGUAAACUGCUUUUGUACGGAACGAAAAGACUCUUUCUAAUAAAGAGGGUCCAUGACGGUACCGUAAGAAUAAGCACCGGCUAACUACGUG
rnacentral:rRNA from 1 species